rfam:Homo sapiens chromosome 17 genomic contig, GRCh38 reference assembly alternate locus group ALT_REF_LOCI_2.
GCUGGGCGUGGUGGCGGGCGCCUGUAGUCCCAGCUACUCGGGAGGCUGAGGCAGGAGAAUUGCUUGAACCCAGGAGGCAGAGGUUGCAGUGAGCCGAGAUCGCACCACUGCACUCCAGCCUGGGUGACAGAGUGAGACUCCGCCUCAA